rnacentral:hammerhead_ribozyme from 1 species
GUACUGCCGACGAUUCCUAAAAUAGGACGAAACAGCUGUCCAGUAC